GCGAGAGUGGCGGAACUGGCAGACGCGCUGGUCUUAGAAGCCAGUGCCGCAAGGCGUGUGGGUUCAAGUCCCUCCUCUCGCA
rnacentral:tRNA from 1 species